UCAUUAUAACAUUUCACACAGUACAACCAAAGUCGUGUUUAUCUCCACCUGUUCACUAGCAUUAAGACUGUGAGAGAUUUACUUCAAAUGUGAAAAUCUACACAGAAGGUCAGAUCUAAGCAGAGCUGUGCUACAACAUAUAACAUGCUCUCACACACACUCGUGCUACAAGUCUUAAAGUGCUUUUGGAUGCAUUCAGUGUGCUUGAGUAGUCUAACGUGGGGAUUUUGAGCCAACCUGUGUCAUGACGAUGAAACGGUUCGUUUGUUAUUUCCACCAAAAGAUAAAGGAAGUGGUCUCCCCAUCACAAGAUGACAACAGAUGAGUGUAGUGUGCGUAGGUCUGCCUAUACUGUAGAGAGUCACCUCAACAGCACUGUUGUCUUCUACAGUAGAUGUCAUAUUGGUGUGAAAGUCAGUGCAGAGAGUUUCUUUAUUGAAGUUCCUGAAAUCAUGUAUGCAGCUGCAAGAAAUGUGUAUGGAGAGGUCGUGGUAGGCACCAGUCCCUCUUGUCCACUCACUUGUUCCCUGUGAAAGUGCUAACAUACCUUAUAUGCCAUGUUUUUUUUUUUCUACAAAUAACAGACCAACUAUUCUAACUACUCAUUCCUCCAUAGUGGAUGUUUGCACAAUGGGAGACAGGGCAGAGCUACUGAAAGAAAUUUAGAUCGUGUCCCGAGACAGCGGAUGACAAUCCACGUAAUAAACCAUCCAGUGAGGAACGAUUCAACAUCUAUCACUUCACGUCACAGCACUCUGACAAGAAGCCAGCAGAACACAAAAGUCAUAUACUUUACUGAUCUGCAUUCAGAAAAGAAAAAUCGGACUUAGUCAUCUAUCCAAAGAACCCGCCUGCACUGAUUGUCUGACCUCUUGAAACAAGCCAACACAGCAUUCGCACCAUCACUGCAGAAAACUGACAGGGAUGUUGUGUGCUCUUGGUAUCCAGAAGUGGUGCAAUGAAGUUGUCUGCCACUGUCUUUCGUCUGACUGGUUUGGGUUUUUCAGGCUUGGUGUUAUUUUCCAGACGUGUCAUGCUGGAGAUAUUGAAAUUGUUCCCAGGCAGCUGUCUUACCUUGAAUGGCUGAGGAAGAGGAUUUGAACUUGGGAUCCAUUUAAUCUUCUUGCGGGGUCGUUUGAUGACCAGCG